rnacentral:rRNA from 1 species
UGCCGGCGACCGGCGGACGGGUGCGUAACGCGUAUGUAACCUACCUUUGACAGGGGGAUAACAUCGAGAAAUUGGUACUAAUACCCCAUAACAUCACCGGAGGCAUCUUCGGUGGUUGAAAACUCAGGUGGUCAGAGAUGGACAUGCGUUGUAUUAGCUAGUUGGUGAGGUAACGGCUCACCAAGGCGACGAUACAUAGGGGGACUGAGAGGUCAACCCCCCACAUUGGUACUGAGACACGGCCCAAACUCCUACGGAAGGCAGCAG